rnacentral:rRNA from 1 species
GACGAACGCUGGCGGCGUGCUUAACACAUGCAAGUCGAACGGUGAACCUCUUCGGAGGGGAUCAGUGGCGAACGGGUGAGUAAACGGUGGGCACCCGCCCCCCGCCUCUGGGAUAACUCCAGAAAUUUGGGGCUAAAACGGGAGUUCCACCCUUCCCCGCAGGGGUGGGGUGGGAAGGGUUUUCCGGCUGGGGUGGGGCCCGCGGCCUUUCAGCUUGUUGGUGGGGUAGUGGCCUACCAAGGCGACGACGGGUAGCCGGCCUGAGAGGGUGACCGGCCACACUGGGACUGAGACACGGCCCAGACUCCUACGGGAGGCAGCAGUGGGGAAUAUUGCGCAAUGGGCGGAAGCCUGACGCAGCGACGCCGCGUGGGGGAUGACGGCCUUCGGGUUGUAAACCUCUUUCAGCAGGGACGAAGCGCAAGUGACGGUACCUGCAGAAGAAGCACCGGCCAACUACGUG